GACGAACGCUGGCGGCGUGCCUAAUACAUGCAAGUAGAACGCUGAAGGAGGAGCUUGCUUCUCUGGAUGAGUUGCGAACGGGUGAGUAACGCGUAGGUAACCUGCCUGGUAGCGGGGGAUAACUAUUGGAAACGAUAGCUAAUACCGCAUAAUAGCAGUUGUUGCAUGACAACUGUUUGAAAGGUGCAAAUGCAUCACUACCAGAUGGACCUGCGUUGUAUUAGCUAGUUGGUGGGGUAACGGCUCACCAAGGCGACGAUACAUAGCCGACCUGAGAGGGGUGAUCGGCCACACUGGGACUGAGACACGGCCCAG
rnacentral:rRNA from 1 species